rnacentral:lncRNA from 1 species
ACAACGACAUUAAAAUUCUAAACAUUUCAUGAGAAGUUGAUUAUACAUGCUGCAGAACUCUUUUCAAUAAUUUCUAAUUCCUUCCUCACAUCUCUUCGCUUCUUUAGAUCUCGUGGCUCGGUUUUACACCACCAGACAUCCAUCUUCUCCAAAACACGCGCAUACUUCAGAACACAUUUAAGGAAACAUAUUUCUGAAUCAUCCGCAUGAAAGUUCUUGAAAGUCAAAGCCUUGAGAUGAUGCGAUAUGCAUAUUGGUACCAGUAACCAGAUCAAAUCAUUUUCACCAAGCCGCAUGCAACGAUCAAAUCCCUGUACAGUGUUUUACAAAACCAUACAUCAAUACCAUGAUCCUUCCGUAUAAAUACAACCUUAUAAAUUGUUGACUUGUUGUUAUCAAAAGAUUAGAUUGCUACAGUGAAUUAAUUAUCAUCUUUUUUUUUAAUGGACAGUAAAGUGUUUGAAAAAGGAAAAGAAAAAAACUGAACCCGGACAUUUUCGACCCGUUUCAACCCAAAACCAUUUUAACAGAAUACUCAACCUGCUAGGGGUGUCAAUUGUGUCGGGUUGAUGGGUUGAAAUGUAUAACCCGAACCCAACCCAUAUUAUAAACUUAUUAUUUGUGUCAAAAAUUUAAACCCUAACCCGCACACACAUAAAUUCGGGUCAACCCGAACCGUUUAACCCAUAUUUUUAUGAGUCAUGCAUGUUGACGAGUUAUAAGCAGGUUAUCAAUAAUGUUUUUAUGGUGAGUUGUGAGAAGUAAAUAAUAUGAUGUGCCACAACUAACAUUAUUAUGACUAACCAUGUAAAAUGGAGAGGCGGCAAUUCUUAAUUCGACUCGAAGCCCGACCCGAACCCACACGAAAAAAAAAAACAGGUUUGGGUCAACUAACAUGACCCGUUAAAAAACGAGUCAGGUCCGGGUUGACCCGUAUUAAAAACAGGUCAGGUUCGGGUCGAAUUAAGAAUUGCCGCCCCUAAAAACUACCCAUCUUGCUAGAUAGCAUGUUAACUGGUCAACCCGUUUUUUAUACGGGUCAACCCAAACCCAACCCUAGGUAGCACUAUAGAACAAAAAUAACAAAUUGAUUGUUUUCUCGAAAUUACUACUACAAGUAAUAAUAGGAUUUAUAGUGAAUAGAUAAUAUAAACCCUAGAUCUGUAGAAUUGGAAGAAACAGAUUGAUUGUUGUUUGAUUCAAUUCGAUUCUUUCAAAAUUAAUUGGAGAGAACAGACAGGAACAGUAAUAGGAUUCAUGUACGAACUCGAUUGAUUAAUUAUUAUUAUUAUUAUAGCACAGGUUCUUAUAUAAUAAUCGAAGAAGAUAUGCUUCAUUUUCCUACAGAAUGUGUUAAAAAUAAUAAUGGCAACGCAUGUUUAUGAAGAAGAUACAAGUAGAGAAAGAAGGCUAACUUGUGAUCGGAGAUUAUCUGAUUUUGCUGCUGCGUUUUAUCGAAGAAUCAUACGGAUAAUGGAGGUUGAGAGCGUCAUUCAGUUU